AAAAGAAUAGAGAGAAAAGACAAAAAGAAAUGUGCAAUUUAACGACAUUCAGUAUGAUAUUCCCCUUAUUAAUAAGCGACAGUUUGAGGAGCUUGGGUCGUCCGGGGGUAUUUUGGAAAAACAAAUAAGCGACAGUUUGAGGAGCUUGGGGUCGUCCGGGGAUAUUUUGGAAAAACUGCGAAUACUUUGGUAAAAUUCAGGUGUUAAUCCUACUUUAGUUUUGACACGUUACUUUACACCGCCCAAACAAUCAUAUCUACACUCUGUUUCCUCCCAAUUUCUCUACACUUUAUUUCUUCUUCAAAAUUUCCAUCACUGCUUAUCUGCUCUUCCAAUUUUCCUUGUUUCUUUUAGUCUUCUCUCUUCUUGGACAGUUAAUUCGCCUUGAUUGUACAGUUAUAAGGGUACAAUAUGUAUGAAGCUUAUUGUUCGUAUUAAGUAUAUCUAAAUAGCGGAUGAUCAAUUGAUGACAAGCUGAGUUAGGUUUUUUGGUCAACCGUCAACAAUCUUUGGCUUAUGUUGUGCCAAUAGAAUGGCUGACUCUUAUGGUUUUGCCUUAUUUGGGCUCUUACUUAGAUUUUUUUUUUACCGUUAUGAAAAAUCUGUGGAUGCUUUAUUUCUCUCCAUUUUCUUUUGUAUAAUAUUUUUAUAAAAUUCUUAUUGAAAAAAGGUGCAGCCUUGAAAUUACAUGACUUUACUCUUUAUGUUUUGCUUUCAUGUAUUUAUAGUAUACUAAGUGUUAUCUGUUGUUCCUUUUUAAAUAUUUGAAGAAAAUAAUGUACGCCAAUGUUCAUGUAUGGUCUUUUAUCUUUGUUUCAAACUAAUAAAAAGUUGCAAAAGUGAUUGGCUGACACUUAUAAAACUUAAAUUUCUUCGUGAAUGGAUCGUCAACAAAAAAGAAAACAACCUUGCAUAACAACAGAAAAUCGCGAUAAGAAUGCGAAGUGGCAUGAACUAUAUCAUGACAUGGACACGGCUAAAAAGAACGCACUUCUACUGCAACGCCGCCUCAAAAAGAGAGAGGCAACAACUAAUCGUCUUCUUGGAAGUAGAAAAUCUGUCAAUCUUGCUGAAUCAAUGUCUGCAAUUCAGGGUGAUGUUAUUAUUAGAGGCUCUUGUUCUAUUUCAAAAAUAGGUUAGAAUAUCAAAUUCAUUAUUCCUUAUUUCCUCGCAUAUGUGUCUUCUGUAUGAGUGUGUAUGCGCAGUGGUUACUCUCCUGCAAUCUCUAUGUUUACAAAUUAUAUUUUAUUGCAGUUGCAACUGAUCAUGAGAUUUUUACGCCUCUAAAUGUGCUUGACAAAUGGAAAAAUGUGAUUCAUCCUAUUUCUAUUUUUGAAAAGGGUUCGACAUCAAGUACUUUAGGUAAAUCAAGUGCUCCAACUACUGAAAUAGUUCUGCUCGAUGGUUAGUAUCAACAAAACACUUUAACUCUAUUGUUCCUUUUUUCUUCUUUUCUAUUCCUUAAGGUUGUUUGAUAUAUGCAGGUCACGUAAAGAAUAAGAGAAAUAUGACUAAUAUUAUGCGAUUAUUCCCUGAUUAUGUGCCGUUAAAAAAAGUUUCGAACUGUAAAUUCUGCUUCGCAAAAAAAUUUCAAUAUGAAUCACCUGGAUUU